UACAGAGGGUGCGAGCGUUGUCCGGAAUCACUGGGCGUAAAGGGCGCGUAGGUGGUGGCUUAAGCGUGCGGUGAAAGCUCGGGGCUCAACCCCGAGUCGGCCGUGCGAACUGGGCUCACUGGAGCAUAGUAGAGGCAGGUGGAAUUCUGGGUGUAGCGGUGGAAUGCGUAGAGAUCCGGAAGAACACCGGUGGCGAAGGCGGCCUGCUGGGCUAUGGCUGACACUGAGGCGCGACAGCGUGGGGAGCAAACAGG
rnacentral:rRNA from 1 species